rnacentral:rRNA from 1 species
UACGUAGGGACCGAGCGUUGUCCGGAUUCAUUGGGCGUAAAGAGCUCGUAGGCGGCCACUCAAGUCGAAUGUGAAACCUCGAGGCUCAACCUCGAGCCUGCAUUCGAUACUGGGCGGCUAGAGUCUGGUAGGGGGAUCUGGAAUUCCUGGUGUAGCGGUGGAAUGCGCAGAUAUCAGGAGGAACACCGGUGGCGAAGGCGGGAUCCUGGGCCAGUACUGACGCUGGGGAGCGAAAGCGUGGGGAGCAAACAGG